rnacentral:lncRNA from 1 species
CUCUUAGCAAGGGUCACAAAAUCUUCCUCGUAUGCGGAUGAGGCAGGCCCCACUUCAUGCUAAGCUAUCAUAGAUGGCACGAUGGGGGAGAGAGAAACCAACCCCAACCUUGUUGGCAAUGGGGUCUAGCAAAUUGGAGGUGGACUCAGAGCUCCGAUCAACUUUGAGGUAGUAGGAAGGGCCACACCCAAUGGCUGAUCGAUGACUACUUUUGGGGUGUCAUCAACCUCGAUGAGAUUGGCGCUCAAGUUCUCCAUCGAUCAAGAGGUCGGU